CGCGUAGGCGGCAAGGCAAGUCAGAUGUGAAAUCCCCGGGACUCAACCUGGGAAUUGCAUCUGAAACUGCAGUGCUUGAGUCCUGGAGGGGGUAGUGGAAUUCCCAGUGUAGCGGUGAAAUGCGUAGAUAUUGGGAGGAACACCUGCGGCGAAGGCGGCUAUCUGGACAGUGACUGACGCUGAUGCGCGAAAGCCAGGGGAGCGAACG
rnacentral:rRNA from 1 species